rnacentral:lncRNA from 1 species
GCAAUACUUAUGAGCCGAUCAAAAAGUCGCCAAGAAUUCCGCAGUCCUGGUGUUGAGAGCACGAGGAAGUCGCACUUGAGGAUUUUCCUCAGUUCACACAUGGCUGUUGUGGCUAAUCAAGCAUUGCUCUCGUAUAAAACAUGCAUCGUCUGUGAACAAAACUGUUUCUCAGAAAAAUCAGUGCCUUCGGCAGUCUUUCGACGUAGUGGAGAUGAUGCACAAUUCGGCCGACACGGAUUGAGUCAAGACAAACUAAGGCCCGAAGCUCAAAAUCUAUGCCCCGGAGAAGGUACAUUGUAAGGACAAAAAGUGUUUUCUUAUCUCUCUAUCAUCCCUGAAGAUUGACGGUAGAGUUUUUGAUCAUCCUGUAUUAUAAUUUCUUAUAUAUAA